rnacentral:rRNA from 1 species
UACGUAGGGUGCGAGCGUUAAUCGGAAUUACUGGGCGUAAAGAGCGCGCAGGCGGUCGUUCAAGUCGCGUGUGAAAGCCCCCGGCUCAACUGGGGAGGGUCACGCGAUACUGAUCGACUCGAAGGCAGGAGAGGGUAGUGGAAUUCCCGGUGUAGUGGUGAAAUGCGCAGAUAUCAGGAGGAACACCAAUUGCGAAGGCAGCUCGCUGGGACGUUACUGACGCUGAGACGCGAAAGCGUGGGGAGCAAACAGG